rnacentral:tRNA from 1 species
GUAGCUCAGCUGGUUAGAGCACCACCUUGACAUGGUGGGGGUCGGCGGUUCGACUCCGUCCGCGCCUACCA